GUUGAUCCUGCCAGUAGUCAUAUGCUUGUCUCAAAGAUUAAGCCAUGCAUGUCUCAGUACAAGCCGAAUUAAGGUGAAACCGCGAAAGGCUCAUUAAAUCAGUUAUGGUUCCUUAGAUCGUACCCACAUUUACUUGGAUAACUGUGGUAAUUCUAGAGCUAAUACAUGCAAACAGAGCUCCGACCGGAGACGGAAGGAGCGCUUUUAUUAGAUCAAAACCAAUCGGCGGCGGGUUCGCCCGCUCGUCGUACACCUUGGUGAAUCUGAAUAACUUUCUGCUGAUCGCAUGGUCUCGCACCGGCGACGCAUCUUUCAAAUGUCUGCCUUAUCAACUGUCGAUGGUAGGUUCUGCGCCUACCAUGGUUGUAACGGGUAACGGGGAAUCAGGGUUCGAUUCCGGAGAGGGAGCCUGAGAAACGGCUACCACAUCCAAGGAAGGCAGCAGGCGCGCAAAUUACCCACUCCCGGCACGGGGAGGUAGUGACGAAAAAUAACGAUACGGGACUCAUCCGAGGCCCCGUAAUCGGAAUGAGUACACUCUAAAUCCUUUAACGAGGAUCAAUUGGAGGGCAAGUCUGGUGCCAGCAGCCGCGGUAAUUCCAGCUCCAAUAGCGUAUAUUAAAGUGU
rnacentral:rRNA from 1 species